UAUCUUAUUAUCACCACUGGACUCUUUCCGAAAUGGAGGGAAAAGCUUUUAUUAUAAUGUGCAUUUUUAUUGCAACAGUCCACGCGCAAAGUUCAACAACUCAGUCCACAGUAGAUUCAACAACCGACACCUCUGCAACACCCACAGCUACAAUGACGUCUUCAACAACCACUACAACUCUUGCUGAAUCAUCCACUACUACUGCAGGAGUUACCACGACAGCACCACAAACUACUUUUACAACAGCUGAAUCCUCCACAACAGCUACAACAACAGCAGAUCCUUCAACAACCACUACAACUAUUGCUGAAACAUCCACUACUACUGCAGGAGUUACCACAACAGCACGACAAACUACUGUUACAACAGCUGAAUCCUCCACAACAGCUACAACAACAGCAGUUCCUUCAACAACCACUACAACUCUUGCUGAAUCAACCACUACUACUGCAGGAGUUACCACGAUACCACCACAAUCUACAGUAACAACAACUGAAUCCUCCACAACAUCAGUUCCCUCAACAAGCACUACAACUCUUACUGAAGCAUCCACUACUACUGCAGGAGUUACCACGACAGCACCACAAACUACUUUUACAACAGCUGAAUCCUCCACAACAGCUACAACAACAGCAGAUCCUUCAACAACCACUACAACUAUUGCUGAAACAUCCACUACUACUGCAGGAGUUACCACAACAGCACGACAAACUACUGUUACAACAGCUGAAUCCUCCACAACAGCUACAACAACAGCAGUUCCUUCAACAACCACUACAUUUCUUGCUGAAUCAUCCACUACUACUGCAGGAGUUACCACGACAGCACCACAAACUACUGUUACAACAGCAGAAUCCUCCACAACAGCUACAACAACAGCAGCAGUGCCCUCAACAACCAUUACAGCUCUUGCUGAAUCAUCCACCACUAUUGCAGGAGUUACCACAACAGCACCACAAACUACUGUUACAACAGCAGAAUCCUCCACAACAGCAACAACAACAACAGUUCCCUCAACAACAAUUACAACUCUUGAUAAAUCAUCCACUACUACUGCAGGAGUUACCACGACAGCACUACAAACUACCGUUACAACAGCAGAAUCCUCCACAACAGCAACAACAGCAGUGCCCCCAACAACCAUUACAACUCAUGCUGAAACAUCCACUACUACUGCAGGAGUUACCACGACAGCACCACAAACUACUGUUACAACACCACAAUCCUCCACAACAGCAACAACAACAGCAGUGCCUUCAACAACCAUUACAGCUCUUGCUGAAUCAUCCACUACUACUGCAGAAGUUUCGACAGCAGCACCACAAACUACUGUUACAACAGUUGAAUCCUCCUCAACAGCAACAACAACAACAGUUCCCUCAACAACAAUUACAACUCUUGAUAAAUCAUCCACUACUACUGCAGGAGUUACCACAGAAGCACUACAAACUACUGUUACAACAGCAGAAUCCUUCACAACAGCAACAACAACAACAGUCCCCUCAACAACAAUUACAACUCUUAAUAAAUCAUCCACUACUACUGCCGGAGUUCCCAAAACAGCACCACACGCUACUGUUACAACAGCUGGAUCCUCCACAACAGCUACAACAACAGCAGAGUCCUCAACAACCACUACAACUUCUGCUGAAUCAUCCACUACUACUGUAGGAGUUACCACAACAGCACAACAAACUACUGUUACAACAGUCGAAUCCUCCUCAACAGCAACAACAACAACUGUUCCCUCAACAACAAUUACAACUCUUGACAAAUCAUCCACUACAACUGCAGAAGUUACCACAGAAGCACUACAAACUACUGCUACAACAGCAGAAUCCUUAACAACCGCAACAACAACAGCAGUGCCUUCAACAACCAUUACAGCUCUUGCUGAAUCAUCCA
ensembl:lncRNA